AGCGGACAGAAGGGAGCUUGCUCCCGGAUGUUAGCGGCGGACGGGUGAGUAACACGUGGGUAACCUGCCUGUAAGACUGGGAUAACUCCGGGAAACCGGAGCUAAUACCGGAUAGUUCCUUGAACCGCAUGGUUCAAGGAUGAAAGACGGUUUCGGCUGUCACUUACAGAUGGACCCGCGGCGCAUUAGCUAGUUGGUGAGGUAACGGCUCACCAAGGCGACGAUGCGUAGCCGACCUGAGAGGGUGAUCGGCCACACUGGGACUGAGACACGGCCCAGACUCCUACGGGAGGCAGCAGUAGGGAAUCUUCCGCAAUGGACGAAAGUCUGACGGAGCAACGCCGCGUGAGUGAUGAAGGUUUUCGGAUCGUAAAGCUCUGUUGUUAGGGAAGAACAAGUGCAAGAGUAACUGCUUGCACCUUGACGGUACCUAACCAGAAAGCCACGGCUAACUACGUGCCAGCAGCCGCGGUAAUACGUAGGUGGCAAGCGUUGUCCGGAAUUAUUGGGCGUAAAGGGCUCGCAGGCGGUUUCUUAAGUCUGAUGUGAAAGCCCCCGGCUCAACCGGGGAGGGUCAUUGGAAACUGGGAAACUUGAGUGCAGAAGAGGAGAGUGGAAUUCCACGUGUAGCGGUGAAAUGCGUAGAGAUGUGGAGGAACACCAGUGGCGAAGGCGACUCUCUGGUCUGUAACUGACGCUGAGGAGCGAAAGCGUGGGGAGCGAACAGGAUUAGAUACCCUGGUAGUCCACGCCGUAAACGAUGAGUGCUAAGUGUUAGGGGGUUUCCGCCCCUUAGUGCUGCAGCUAACGCAUUAAGCACUCCGCCUGGGGAGUACGGUCGCAAGACUGAAACUCAAAGGAAUUGACGGGGGCCCGCACAAGCGG
rnacentral:rRNA from 1 species